CAGUCGCCACGGUAAUACGAAGGGGGCUAGCGUUGUUCGGAAUUACUGGGCGUAAAGCGCACGUAGGCGGACAUUUAAGUCAGGGGUGAAAUCCCGGGGCUCAACCCCGGAACUGCCUUUGAUACUGGGUGUCUAGAGUAUGGAAGAGGUGAGUGGAAUUCCGAGUGUAGAGGUGAAAUUCGUAGAUAUUCGGAGGAACACCAGUGGCGAAGGCGGCUCACUGGUCCAUUACUGACGCUGAGGUGCGAAAGCGUGGGGAGCAAACAGGAUUAGAUACCCCUGUAGUCCCUGUCUCUUAUAA
rnacentral:rRNA from 1 species